GGCGCGGCUGAUUUGGUCAACGAUGGAGGAGCGGCGAUGGGUGUGAAGAUCCGCGAGGUCGAUGGUGGGGAUUGGGAUAUCGGGUUUGGUAUGGUGUCGGGGGUCGGGUAGAGAUUCGGGCUGGUGGAUGAAGAAGCGGGGGAUGGAGGUGAGGCCAGAGUCAACGAGGCCUUUGACUCCGAGCUUGGAGCUGUCGAAUUGCUUGAUUUCUUUAGCUCUAUCGUAAUCCAGUUCGCCGAUCACGGUGUUCUCCAUCGCCACCCCCGUCAUGAUUUUGAAAGUAAAGAGGAUGAUCGAUUUAUUAAUUAAUGGAAGUCCUCAUUUAUAUUGUGGUAUAUUAUUUGGUUUGUAAUUUUAGGGGCGUUUGUUGACCCGGAUUGUCUCGGACUGGACUAGCUGUAGGGACUAAGCUGGACUGGCUUAGACUAGACUAAGCUGGACUAACUUAGUGAAGCGUUUGGUGCAGUGUCGGACUAAGAAGCAGGAUAAUAAAAACAGUACUGUUCAUCAGAUUUGUGUUUGCUUACACUAGGACUACAAAUUUUUGCCAUUGUGUAAUAAAGUAAUGCUACAAAUGUCAUGAGAAGAUACUUGUGUAAUAGAGUAAUCCUAAACUUUAUGCAAUAAAAUCGAACAUUAACUAAUGAUAGUUUUCUUGGAUUAUAGAGUUUAAGAAAACGGAACUCAUAUUAGAUAUUUGUCUGAAGCAAGUAAAAUUGCCAUGGAAAAUGUCACUUAAGUUCUUCACGUGCAUGAUAUAUGGUGUUCUGGUUCUCUGUUGGGUGAAGAUGACUAGGAUCCAAUGGUGGUAGGGUUUUGAAGGAAGGGGAAACGUGAGUACUAAUACUUUGGUUUCAAGAAUUCUCCAAGUGUACCCAACAAACCUUGCUCAAAAGAAAAGAAAAUAGAAAAACAUGGUAAUUAAACAGGCUAUAAGGGGCCGUCUCUUUUUCCAUGUGGCAUAAUUCAUAGCUGACUAGAUUAACAAGCAAGAGCAAGUACAUAAGAAGAUCUCCAUAAUUUACAAAAUACCAGUGAACUAUAGUAUACCAUUCAAAAGUAGAUCUCCAUAAUUUACAAACUCCUAGUUAACAUUAGCCAAAAUACUUCAUAGUGGAAAGCUAAGUUAUAAGUCAUAACUUAAGAUUGUACGAUUAAUAAAAUACAUCCAUAUCAAAGACACUACAUAAUAUACUCAUCCGCUUGCUUUGUCGCUUAAAAGCCUUUGGACAAACACUUUCUUGAGUUCUGGUUUGAUUACCCUGAACACUCCCACAUUUUUUUGUUUAUCCAAAAUAAGAGACAAUGCAUCAAUUUGAUCCAUAGGAGAAAGACCCAUUUCUUCAAGUUCGUUAGCUAUGUCACUAUGAUCUGCAGUAACUUGAACUAAAGCUUCAGUUACCAUUUGCAUCCUCUUCCCACUUUCAACAUAAAAUUCUUUCAGUCCACUGAUAAUUGCCUCGGUUCCAUCACUUGAACUUCCCACACCUCUUUUCCUCUUUCGUUGGCUAUUUUCAGAUGGGAUGCUUUGUUGGCUUUGUUCGUUCAUUGAAGAAACAAAAUUUUCACCUCUAAUAUCACUUGCACCAACUUGAUCAUGACUUUGUUCCUCCACCAUUUCAGCAGGGGUUUCGGCUACAUUACCCGUAGCCCGAUCUUUUCCAAAUAUAUAUGCGAAUCGAUCAUACAGUGGAAAAGGUUUGCUUCUCCAUCCAUUGGCUUCUUUAUUUUUCUAAGAUUAUAUCAAAAUAGCAAAACUAAAAUUGAGCAUGUGUAACAAAUAAAGCAGCAAGAACAAAACUAAUGUAUAAAUAAAAUAGGAUAUGAACCUGCACAUAAGUUUGCCAUGCGUCAUCACUAUCAACUUCAACGCACUUUUUGACAUCAUUCCAUGCAAAUCCACUUGUGUUUAUCAUGUCAACGACCAUACUAUAUGUUUUUUUCCAUUUCUUUAACUUUGACUCAAUAUGUGGAGUUGCAUUUAUAUUGAAAUGAGGACAUAAAACAUUGACAGCUUUCGCUAUUUCAAUCAAAGUACCUUGUUUGAAAGCACCGGUAUCACACCGUUGCUUCCGAGCAACAAAAUCCUCAAGAACGGAUAGUAAUACUUCUUCCUCAAAUGCUUCCCAUUUACGCCUUCUUCCUUUUGGCUCUUGAGUAGCAUUCAAAAUAUUGUCUUUAUCCAUACCUAAACAAAAAAUAUUUGAAUGUACUAAAAUACAAUACAAAUAAUCAAUUUACAUAAUAUCCAAUUAAUUUGCAUAAUAUCCAAAUAAUUUGCAUACCAUCCAAUCAAUAAAAAAGUUUUAACAUUCACUGAUGAGCAAUCUAAUAAUUAUGCUAAUAUCCAACAAAGGCAUGAUAAAAAGGAAUACUAAAAUAAAAUGUUAUCAUUAACACAUAUAACUAGUUCGGUUGCUGGUUCCUAAUUGCUCUCCACUCAUUAUACAUUUCCUGAGCCAUGACAUUCCUCUUUGCAGUCCACUGGUCAGAUGUUUCAACACUACCAACAUAUUCACCUUCUUCUGUAUUUUGUCCAUCUUGUAUUAUUGGCAAAUUUUCCAGUGGAUCUACAGACAUCUCUUGCCUAAUAAGAUUGUGUAGUAGGCAACAAGCGGUAAUUAUUCGACCUUGUGUCCUUAUCAAAUAGAAAGAUGGACUUCUUAGUAUCGAUCACCUUCCUUUUAGCAAGCCAAAACAACGUUCAAUUACAUUCCUUGCCUUAGAAUGCUUCAUGUUAAAAUACUCUUCCUUAUUAAAAGGUGUUCGUCCCUCCCAUUCAGAUAAAUGAUAAGGUAUUCCUCUAUAGGGUGCAAGGAAUCCUUCACCAUUUGUAUAACCACCAUCUACAAGGUAAUAAUAACCUAAUAAAAAAAAACGUUAUUAGUGUUUUGUAGUUGACAAACAAAACUAGACAUAACUUACAAAGUUGAGACUAACUAAUACUCUUACCCGUUGGUACCUUAAAACCAUUAGGCCUAGUAAUUGCAUCAUGUAGCACUCUAGAGUCUGAUGCGGAACCCUCCCAACCUGGAAACACAUAUAUGAACUGCAUAUCGCCUGAACACACACCUAACACAUUAGUUGCGGCUCGACCCUUUCUUGUUCGGUAUCUUGGUUUGUCAAUUUCAUGUACAUGCAUAUCAAUGUGUGUUCCAUCUAUUGCUCCCAAGCAAUUCUAAAAAAAAAUAAAAAAUUAAGCUUUUGUUAAUUUAUACAAAGGGAAUGAAGAGUUAAAGCUUAGGGAAAAUGAAAAAAAAAUUAUCAUACCUUAAAACAUCGCCACCUAGGAUCUGUAGAAUCAAUAGGCACAGGCUGAGGGACUUUUAGUAGGAUACCUUGUAAUCGCAAAAUUCCUUGCAAUACGCUAUUGAAAUACCUACUUAUAGUCUCUCUCGACCUAUAAAAUCUACCGUCAAUACUACGAUUCUUAGUAUGAUGUGCUAGUAUUUGUAAAGUCAUACACACAUGCUCCUCUACAGACACCAAACCAUCAGUUUUUACCCUCCCAUCUUGACUAAGUAAGUCACAUAAUAUGGCAAAAGUCCUUCUAUCCAUUCUCAAUUCGUUGACACAUUCAAUAUCAAUAUUUCCUAUUAUACCAUUCAGAUAACACAAACUAAUCUCUCGUCUAACAAGUGAACGAUUAGUCAAAGUGGAUCAUUCAACAUGUCUCUGUUUGGCCCUUAGCAUCAUCACCACAAGAAUCGUACAAAUGCAAAUUGUCUCUAAAUGAGACAUCUCUAACAAUAAGAUCAAUAAAAGCUUCAUUCGAUCCAUAUCUAUCCAAACAAAAAAAAAAAGGAAAAUAAAAUAAGGACAUUAUAUAUGUAAUAUUUACUGUUAUUAAGGGUGAUGGAAAUGAAGUGAUUAUGAUACGAAAUGAACUAGAUCAAAAUAAAUGGUAUACAAAGAAUUCUGAAACAAGUAACUGCAUUAACAGCCCAAAAAAUAAACAGCCAAGUCACAAUUAAUGUUGGAUCAACAAAAAAAAAAAACCAGUCAAGUCACAAUUGCUAGGCAUUGCAUGUUAAAAGGGAAAUUAAAUGACACCUGUGAAGCGGUAGUCUUAGCCUUAUCCUUCCGUUUAUGCUCCUCUUCUUUGCAACCAACAACCACAGAAUAUUGCAGUUCAGCAUACAAAACAUUCACAUUGUAAUAUCAUGGUUAUAAACUAAAUACACACACACACUUACAGAGCACACACACACAUUUCCAGUGCAGAAUACACACACACACACAGAGACACCAACUAAAGAUACACACACACACACACAUUCACAGACCAACUAAAGAUACACACACACAGAAACACACCAACUAAACUCACAGACCACAAAAAAAACAUCUGUUCUAGUUCAAGAUCAAAAGAUGAGCAAUUAAGUAAGGACAAACAAAAUAGUUCAAACCGGACAUUAAACUUUUGAGUGAAACUCAACCGCAACAUUAGAAUAUAAGCAGAGAGAUUGUUACAAGGAGAACUUCCAGUUGGAACAAAAAUUCUAGACCAACCCUACCCCCUUCCCUGCCUCACCCUCUCUCGCUCCCCCCCACGUUAAUGAGUACACACAUACAAACACACACACACACAGUACACAAACACACACACGCAGUACACAAACACACACACACACACCCCCACGUUAAUGAGUACACACAAACACACACACACGCACACAGUACACACACACACACUUCAAGUGCAGUACACAAACACACACACACAUACACAGAAAUUAGAUACACACAAAGUACACACACACACAGGCAGUACACAAACACACACACACAAAAAUUACACACACACACACACACAGUACACACACACACAUACACAGAAAUUAGACACACACAGGCAGUACACAAACACACACACACACACACCCCACGUUAAUGAGUACACACAAACACACACACACACACACACUUCCAGUGCAGUACACAAACACACACACACACAGAGUACACACACACACACAUACACAGAAAUUAGACACACACACACAGGCAGUACACAAACACACACACACACACUUCCAGUGCAGUACACAAACACACACACACACACAUACACAGAAAUUAGACACACACACACAGGCAGUACACAAACACACACACACAGAAAUUACACACACACAUACACAGAAAUUACACACACACACAUAGGUAGUACACAAACACACACACACACACACCCCCCACGUUAAUGAGUACACACAAACACACACAGAAAUUACACACACACACACAGAGUACACACACACACACUUCCAGUGCAAAAUACACACACACACACACACUCACAGAAAUUACACACAGAAACACACCAACUAAACUCACAGACCACAAAAAAAACAUCCAUUCUAGUUCAAGAUCAAAAGAUGAGGAAUUAAGUAAGAACAAAAAUAGUUCAAACCGGACACUAAUCUUUUGAAUGAAACUUAACCGCAACAUUAGAAUAUAAGCAGAGAGAUUGUUGCAGGGAUGACUUCCAGUUGGAACAAAAAUUCUAGACCAACCCUACCUCCUUCCCUGCCUCACCCUCUCUCGCUCCCCCCCCCCCCACAUUAAUGAGUACACACAUACACACACAUACACACAGAGUAAUAAGUACACACAAACACACACACACACCCCCCCCACGUUAAUGAGUACACAACCACACACACACACAGAGAAAUUACACAAACACAGAGUACACAAACACACACACAAAGUACACAAACACACACACACCCCCUACGUUAAUGAGUACACACAAACACACACACACACACACAGAGAAAUUACACACACACACACAGUACACAAACACACACACACAGAGUAAUGAGUACAGACACACACACACACUUCUGCACUAACUCAUCAAUUCAUCCUAAUUUGGUAGAUAAAAACAUACAGUGAAAGAGGUGUUUGGAGAGAGUAUGCUUGGAGACGAGGAUUUUUGGUAAUGACAUACACAUAAAUUACACACACACACACAUAGUACACUAACACACACACACACACGCAGACACACACACGCACAGAGUACUCCCAUUGUUGAAACCCCAAUUUUUAAAAAUCGAAAACAACAUGUGGGUAGGACUUCCAAGUUUUACAACUUUGACAUCCUAAAUUCCCAAGUUCCAUCUCAUCUUAUGAAAAGCCCAAAUUCUAAUUUCAAUUUCACCUAAAUAUCAAAACCCUAAUUUAUUCAAGUGCAGAUCUCUAUGAUUCAAAAAUUAUCAAACCCAAAACAACAAAAUCAAAUAAAGCUCAGUAAAAUUACCAUCUGCAACACAAAUACAUGAAAUUAAUAGAAGAAUCGAAGUUUACCAUACAAAUGAGGGCGAGCAGAUGCAGAGAUCGGAAGACGCAGAGAUGAGGGUGAGGAGGACGAAGAUGAGGGAGCACGGCAAGGACGACGUUGAGGGAACGUAGAGAUGAGGACGAAGGGCUUGGACUGGACGAAGGGACGACGCAAAAAAUCUCUCGGUUUUCUCUGGCUUACGAAUCCGCCCGAUUUUGGGGUUGCUCGUUAAGAACGGCUAAGGAGCCAGUUAGUCCAAGCGAGUCCAGGUUAAGCUCAUUAAAGCUAAUCCGGAUGCACACCAAACGUCGGACUAUAGUCUAGUCCAGUCCAAGCCCUCUUAAUCCUGUCAAACAAACGUGCCCUUAGUCUCUAAAUUUAGUUUUCUUAUCAUUACUCAAUUUUUAAAUUAAAUUAGUAAAUCAAAUGAGACGUCACAAAUUAAAAAUAAGCAUGUUAAUUAACGUUUAAAAAAUAAUUCAAUCAUCGAUAAUUAUAUUAUUUAAUUUACAAAAUUUAAACUCCUCAUUAUUUUCAUUAGCCAAAACAAAGAGCACAAGUGCCUAAACAAUUAGCCAAAACAAAGAGCACAAGUGCCUAAAAUAUUGUGUAGUCCUAAGACAAUGGGUCAUGAUAAGGUUUUAACAAUUGCAACCAAUAAAAUGUAAAGUCAUUACACAAACUCUCAAGUCCCUCCUAUUUAAUAUCUGUUUGGACCCAAUUUUACAUUAUUAGUCUGAGUAAUCGAGACCGUUGAAUGAACAUAAUUUUAUACCGUUGAAUGAUAAAGUGAUUGAAAUGAUUUUUAAUUAUUAUUGAGAAAUAAUAUUAUGAUUUUAAUUAUGAUAUUAUCUCUUAAUAUUAUAUUAAAUUAUUUAAACCUAAUAUUUGUCUAAAUCCCAAUUGAUUUGAAUGAUGAUGGAAUAUGGGGAUAUACUUUAAGAUACGACAUCAGAUAAUGAAGCAUGCAUGGGAUGAUUAUCAUAUAAGUGCAAAUGGUGCACGCGUUUUGAUGUUGUUUUGGUUUUGGCCACAUGGAUGCAUAUGAGCAAAAAUAAAGGAGAUGCCGCAUGCAAUGGCAUAUUCCAGUUUAAACUAGAACUAUUACGAUGAUCUGGUGAAUGGGUGAUAAGAUUUACAUGGAUUGCGUGUGGUUGGAAGAAAGUAUGUGGCAUGCAUGGCUGCAUCCAGACAAAUAAGUGGUCAACCAAAAGGAAAAUAUUGGUAUUGGAUAAUGAUGAGAUAAGAAACUUAGGUAGGCUAGGCCUUUUUGCAUGGUGAUGGAUGUUGUCAGAUGAGUUUGAAGUGAUAAGAAUUGAUCACAAUGCAUGUCGUGCGAAAAGGUACUUUGAGAUUUCAAAAGGAUGCAUGUGUCUGCUUUUGCAGAAAUCCACGGGCAUAAGGAGACUAGGUAGAUUUUUGCAUGUGUCAAAGAUAAUAUUAGUUAUUUGAUAUUAUUUUUGGAGUGUAUUCGGAAAAGGUCUCUAUUGGAUUGUCGAUCAAGGAGACUCGGCAAUAAAUACAAAGUUGCAAACAUCUCAUCAACCCUUUCAAAUCAACACAUAAAUUGCCCUGCACAAAGCUUCUUAACAACUUUGAGAUUUUUUCCUCUUCCCCUUUCUUCCUGCCAACACAUCUUCAGUUUGGAUAAACCUGAAGGCAACCGGCGACAUCUUCAGUUUGGAUAGACAUCACUAUAACCAUAGAAUCAGCCAAUCGAGGAGCACCUUCAAUUUGGAUAGACAACACUGCUUUGAGACCGACUGAUUAUUUAUCCAAGUCUCGAUCAACAAGGAUUUCCAAGUCCUUGUUUGUAGAGGUCAUCUCACUAGCCUUCUCGGCGAAGUGAGGUGUUACAGGUCGGGUCCUAGGCUUGACAUAUAGGACGCCGAGUUUUAUUUUAUGAUUGGAUAUUCACAAGUAUAUUUUAGAGUUUGGCAUUCCAACAGCCAAACCACAUUUACUAUCAAGACAUUUAUCAUUUUCGAGUAUUUGUAUUCGUAUAGUUUGAUACCAGUAUGGUGUACCUAUACUCACGAAUAUAAUUUACUCAGACCGAACCUUGUGCUGACGAUUUGUGAACUUCGCAGAACUAGUAGCCUUGUCUUCAGGCUCUAGAACACGAAGGUUAAGACGUGUUCCUUCCUCGGCCGCAGUCGCAAGAUCAAGAAGUCAACAGUGCGCCCAACGCGACAUCAACACAUUUUACUACCUAACCAAGCUCGGCCGGCAAGUUGGCACGCCCCGCACACAAUCAAAGAACGUAGUUAGCUUAUUAGUUACUCGGCCAGAUCGCCACGUAGGCUUGGUAGUUCUCAAAAUCAUUUAUCCCGGCUUGGUAAUGCCUCCGCCACCGCAUGAGAGGGCAACCCAUUAUUUCUACGUGUAGAACGACGAACUUAAGAGUAUGUGAACGAAUGCUCUUAAUUGUCGAAGCAGACUCCACAUUUGAUAAUCCAAUUCGUAUUUUUAUUACAAUAAAGAUGAGGACACACCUCUCAAAUACAAUGGGUCAUACUUCAGUUCUGGUCAUAUAGUGGUAUUUUACAGCUCAAAGUGAUUUACCAAAGCUUUGCCAUCCAACCCUUUAUUGAAGAACCUUUGCAUGAACUCUGAAAGCGUAAACUGCCGGUAAAGGGCUGGUUUCUCUGGGGAGACCAGCUCCGGCAAUGGCCCGUAUGAGUCAUCCCUUCUACUCACAUUGAAAAACACAGCGAUUGACACACGGGGUUCACGGGAUGAGUUCGCCAACACACGAUGAUCUACACUUCGGUAUUCACCAUUGGACACAAUCUGAAAACGAACCAAACCAUUACAUUGAGUUUCGGUUAAACAGCAAACAAAAUAAAGGCGAAAUAGUUCUAUUGCCCGCCAAAAGUAAGGAUAAUUCUCACUUUACCCCCCUUUACUUAUGUUUUGUGUUCGACUUUGCUCCUUGUCAUCAUCUCCGUCCAAAAUUUUGGUUAAAAUUGAUGGCAUUUCAUGUAUAAUUUCAUCUAAAAUUCCGUUAAAAUAGUACCACUACGACCUCAUCAAAUUUAAAGAAAUUUAAGAUUGAGUUUACUGCUUGGAGCAAAUCGUAACUCAAAGCAUUACUCAAGGGGCAAGGUAGGGUUUACCUUAACACCAAGAACAAACUGCAAUUUAACAGUUCUACAAUUAAGCCUAAUAACAAAUAAACUAGCAGGGAAAUUUACUGAAUGCAGAUACAAAGUUUGAUUGCUAAAGAGAAAAUCGGUUAAAGUGAUUUCGACAUGUGAUAGAGAUGCUCUGGCAAGAACGACUAUUAAACAAAGGCAAAAAAACGUAGAAGACUUAGAAAGAGACUUAAAAAUAAAAUUUCGAGUACUUGGGGCAAACGGAAUACUUCGUGCAAAACUGAGCACAAUAACAUUUUAAAGGUCAUACAUCUAACCCCUCUUAGGCCUAGUUUGAUAUUACUUUUUUUUUUCACCAAAAAUUGUUUUACUUUAAAGUUAAGCAGUAAAAAAAAUCUUUGAUAAAAAUAAAAUAUACUACUUAUUUUAAAAAUAAUAGCAGUCAAACAACAGUUUUAAAAAAGAGCACGUAGGUUGCUCUUAAAAGCCGAUUUAAUACAAAGCGAAGUUGAACCUUUGAAAUACUUUUAACUCCGGUAAUAAGUUCAUUAAUUUUAAACAAUGACAUUAUUUAUAAACAUUGCUUUUACAUUAUUUUAUAUACCCACAACACUUUUAAAAAUACAAAUUAUCAAACUUUCAACUACUUUCUUUUGCAAUUAAUUAUUCUUAAAGUACAAAACAAGCAAUUUAUUAAAAAAAAAACACAAUAAUCGCAAAUUGACCCUUAGUGGAAUAUGACUUAAUUGUUGUUGUAUUGAUAUGUUGUCGUUUUGAUCAUUUGUAGAUGUGUAAAACACUCAUUUUUUUAGUCAAUUUCACAACCCAAAAACAAAGCGUUGAAUUUUAAAUGGCAUAGGGUUACUUUCACAGGCAGUAAGAGUUAAAAAUAGAAUUUACCUGAAGAAAAUCCCCAACGUUGAUGACGAGGGCACCGGGAACAGGUUUCACAUCCACCCAACCGUCACCGUACUUAACCUGCAGCCCACCCAUGCGGUCCUGAAGCACCACGGCCAGCACUCCCGGGUCAGAAUGAGAUGUAAGCCCAACCGUCAGAUCAGGUUGCGGGCAGUACGGGUAGUAAUGGCCCGCCAUCACCCUCCCUUCCAGACACGUCAUCUCCUGCAACCUCUUCGGGUUCAAUCCCAGGCCUUCGCUCGCCAGCUCCAUCAGCACCUCCCCCAGCCGUUUGAUCUCGCGGUCCCACUCAACUACAUCCUCCCGGCAAAUCUCCGGUACUUCUUCAGGAACAGCGGGAAUCGGGCCCAACCUCACUUGAAGCGUGUCCCUCCAGCUGGCGGCUUUUGAGCUGUAGAGGUCCACGUUGGAGAUAUACGAUACGCCCGUGCCCAUCUCUCUGCGGUAGAACCGCGCUUUCACCUCCGUCGGCUGCUCGUGGAAGGCCCUGACGGCUGCGAUCGUGCGGUCAAGAGUUACCGAUGGGAUGCCGUGAUUAGUGAUCUGGAAGAACCCGAACGUUCGGCAGGCGCGGCUGAUUUGGUCAACGACGGAGGAGCGGCGAUCGGUGUGAAGAUCCGCCAGGUCGAUGGUGGGGAUUGGGGUAUCGGGUUUGGUAUGAUGUCGGGGGUCGGGUAGAGAUUCGGGUGGGUGGACGAAGAAGCGGGGGAUGGAGGUGAGGCCUGAGUCAACGAGGCCUUUAACCCCGAACUUGGAUUGGUCGAAUUUCUUGACUUCUUCAGCUCUAUCGUAAUCCCGUUCACCGCCGAUCGUGGUGUUCGCCGCCAUGGUUUCUCUUUUUCCGGUCAGAGAAAAUUGCUUACCACAAAGUCCGAAAGGAUGAUACAGAGGCCCUGGAUUUAGGCAGCAGGCACUGUGUAUGAAUAAAUAAUGGUUUUGGUGGGAGAGAAUUCGGAUAAGACGUGUUGCCCCGGAACUCCAUCUUCAUUGCCAAUGGGUAAAUUACACUGUCGCUCCCUAGUGUUUUGUUCUUUUUUCAUAAAAGUCCAUAAAUUAUGAACAUUACAAUAAAACCCUUGAGGUUUAAAUCUAUUUUACUAACACCCCUAUGGAGUAGCAUGUAAUUUAAGAAAACUUUGAAAGGUUUGUAGAAACACGAAAAUUCUCAGUCAUCUCAGAUUCUCAAAAUGUCAAUUAGACAAAAAUAAGGGGAAUCAGAAAUAGAACCAAUCCAUCUGGUUGCGGUUUGGUUCGAUUUGGAAGAGAGAUAUUCUGACCAAACCGUCGGUGACGUUCAGUUCGGUGCGAUUUUGAGGCUUGAAUCAAAAUAGAACCAAAUCAUUUAUUUGCGGUUUGAUUCGAUUUCAAACGGUUUUUAUUUCAGUUUCAAACCAUUUGCAAACUAAAUGUUUUAUGUCAUUAAUACAACAUAAUUGAGUUAUGGCAUUAGUAAUACAACCCCAAAAAAUAAAUUGUUCAUGUAAUUCAACAAAAAAGUUUUGGUGUUUCAACUUUCAAGUUCCUACUUUGCAUUGUCCAACCCUUUCACUUUCCUUUUCGACACUUACUCUUCUAGAGCUUAUGAGGCCUUUAAGCUUGUGAAGGGGCUUAUCAGCGAUACCUCGGAAGAUCUUGGACGUUAUGAAAGUGAACCAAUGGAUGAGCAGCCAUUGAACCUUGUAAACUAAAAGCUUGAGAUCUUCUUGAAGCUUGUUAUUGUGGUUGGAUUAAGAGUAAGAGAGGCGAUGCUUGAAUUCAACUUGGCCAACUUUACACAAUACAAAAACAUAAACAAUAUAAAUUACAUUAGUUGUUCGAAACUUUUUGAAGCCCACAAAUAUAUUUUUUAUACUAUGUAGUUCGAUUUUAGACAUUAAGAACCAAUGCCAAACUGUUUUUUAGCUUGCGGUUCGGUUUCAAACCGAAACCGUUUCAAAAUCACAAAAACUGAACUGUUUGGUGCAGUACGUCUCAGUCCAUAUUAUAUUUUCGAUUUUCGGUUUCAAGUGCUCACCCCUAAUUACAGUUGGAAGCUAAGAACUAUCAAACAUUAAUAAAUUAAUAAAAAACACUAAUGUAAUUUAAUAAUUGCCAAAACCAAAUCCAUGAUCAGCACUAUCAAGAAAUAAGGCCAACUAUAACAUGAUUCACAGCUGCAAAAUACAAUAGUGAAUGGUUCAUACCGUUUUACAGCCUAAAGUGAUUGACCAAAGCUUUGCCAUCCAAUCCUUUCUUGAAGAACCUUUGCAGCAAUUCUGACAACGUAAAUUGCUGGUAAAGUGCCGGUUUCUCCGGCGAGACCAUCUCCGAUAGUGGACCAUACGUAUCCUCUGUAUUACUUGGCCUGAAGAACACUGCAAUUGCCACACGUGCUUCGUGUUUUGGGUUAGCUAACACCCGAUGAUCUACGCUUUUGUAUUCUCCGUUGGACAUAAUCUGAAAGUCAACCAAAGAUUCGUUCUUGUGACACAAUGAAAGUUACAGGUUAAGAAAUCACGAACAACCACCUUGCAUAUAAUUCUGGAAAAUUGAAAUACCAAAGCUUAUAUAUUCCCGUGGAAUCGUAACAACAGAAGAAAGUAAAACGAGAAAGUAUGAAAAUACUUAUUUCGGUUAAAUAUCAGAGAAAUUCUUAUAUUUCGUCUAAAUCAGUGCUUGAAAUUCUCUAAAUUUAAUAUUAAAUUUUCUGAAAAUAUGACUUUAACCCCUCAAACUCAAUUUCUUUCAUAUAAAACCCGACAUAACAUUUUUACUCGAAUAAAACCCAAUGACUAGACUUCACAUAAGCAAAUUCAUUAAUUAUGACAUUUUAAAUUUUUCGAAUGCCUAAAAUACCCCUUUUUGCAUGUUUAAUGUGCACAAUUAAACAUAUGCAGAUUUUAAGGAGGAUUAAUGAUUUUACAAAAAUAAAAUAAUAAAAAAGGCAUAAAUAUUCUAAAUGCAUUGCAUGUUAUAUGAAUUUGGUUGAUUCAUGUUUCUCUCACUUCAUAAAAUUUGCUUCUAAUUUGAUAUAGGAAUUAAUUUGGAAAGUUUUCUUAAUCUUAAUAACAAUUUUCAAUUUAAAUAUAUUUUUUAAUGAAAUAGUCUAUCUUUUAAAAUAUUUAUCAAUAAAAUAAUGUACCUAUAUAUAUAUAUAAUUUUUUUUUUGCCAACUAUAAAUUUUUACCAUAAUUUACCUAUAUAAUAAUGUACCUGUUAUUUAAUUUUUACAACACUAAUGUAUCUUAAAAAAUAAUUUACUUAUUGUUUAGUUUUAGCAAAAAUAAUUUACCUACUGUGUAUAAUUGGUGAAGCUAAUAUGAUGUACAUAUUGUUUAAUUUUUUAAAAAUUAAUGUAUGUACAAAAAUAAUUUAUCUAUUGUUCAAAUUUUAGGAUAAAAAUUUACAUGUUUUUAUUUAACAAUAAUGUAUCUACAAUUUUAUUUUUGUAUGAAUAUAAUUUACCUACUUUUUAAUUUUAUAUGAAACUAAUUUACCUACUGUGUCAGUAAUGUAUCUACAAUUUUACAUACAAUAUUUACCUUUUUUUUUUCACAACAAUAGUGUAUCUACAAUUUUGUUUUUGUAUGAAUAUAGUUUACCUACAAUUUAACUUUUCAAAAAAUGUAUCUUCUAUUUUAUAUUUUACUAUCAUAUAUAUGUUUCUGUGUUCGCAAAAUAAUUUAUCUAAAGUUAUAUAGUUAAGAGAUAUGCUAAUGAAUUAUAUUAAUUCAUUAUUAGACUGAUAUAAGAAAUUGUUAAAAACGUUAGCCAUAAUGGUUGGCUAAUAAUGGUUGUAUGAGAACAGUUAUAGAAAGUUGUGGCAUAAAUUGUAAAUAACUUAUAUUAAUAUGUUACUUAUUUUCUUAUGUGGUAAUUUAUUUAAAUUUUGGGUUUUGAUUGAAUGUUUAUUCAUAGGUGGGUUUUUAUCUGAAGUAUAUGAGUUGUAUGGGUCUAUAUCUAAACAACCCUUAAAUUUUCAUCAUUUCUAUUGAAAACAGUCAAUAUCGAAAUUGUUACGAUAUAUUCUUUGAUAUUUUCACCAAUAUUUCGACACUGAAUUUAUCUUUAUUAGAGAACAUCGGCAGUGAGAUCAGUUUUGUAGUUGAACUACAUUUACCUGAAGUAAAUCCCCGACGUUGAUAACAAGAGCACCGGGGACCGGCUUCACAUCCAGCCAACCCUCACCGUAUUUAACCUGCAAUCCACCCGUUUGGUCCUGAAGCAGCACGGUCAAAACUCCCGGGUCAGAAUGAGACGCAAUCCCCACCGUCAGAUCAGGCUGCGGGCAGUAGGGGUAGUAGUGGCCCACCAUCAUCCUCCCUUCUAGACACGUCAUCUCCCUCAAUCUCCACGCAUUCAAUCCCAGUCCUUCGCUCACCAGCUCCAUCAACACGCCUCCCAGCCGUUGGCUCUCCUGAUCCCACUCAGCAACCGCAUCCCGACAGAUCUCAGGCACCUCUAGAGGAUUCGCCGGCGUGGGGCCCAACCUAACUGCUAGCGUGUCCCUCCAGCUGGCGGCUUUUGAGCUGUAGAGGUCGAAGUUGGAGGCAUAAUUUACGCCCGUCACCGUAUCCCUACGGUAGACCCGUGUUUUGACCUCCGCCGGCUGCUCGUGAAAGGCCUUGAUGGCUGAGAUCGUACGGUCCAGAGCUGCCAACGGGAUUCCGUGAUUUGUGACCUGGAAGAAACCGAACUUUCGACACGCCUGGUUGAUUUGGUCAACGAUGGAUGAACGGUGAUGGGUGUGCAGGCCGGCGAGGUCGAUGGUGGGGAUCGGUGUUUGUUGGGAAUCGGAUUUUGUAUCGGGUAGAGUUUCGGGUGGGUGGAUGAAGAAGCGGGGGAUGGAGGUGAGGCCAGAGUCAACGAGGCCUUUGACUCCGAGUUUUGUGUUGUCGAAAUCCUUGAUUUCUUGAGCUCCGUCGUAGUCGUGUUCGCCAAUCACGGUGGUCGCCGCCAUGCCUGCUCUGUAGAGUUCAGCUCUGGUGUCUCUUUCU
rnacentral:lncRNA from 1 species